rnacentral:rRNA from 1 species
AGAGUUUGAUCCUGGCUCAGAUUGAACGCUGGCGGCAGACUACACAUGCAAGUCGAGCGGAUGAAGAGGGCUUGCUCUCUGAUUCAGCGGCGGACGGGUGAGUAACGCGUAGGAAUCUACCUAGUAGUGGGGGACAACAGUUGGAAACGACUGCUAAUACCGCAUACGCCCUAAGGGGGAAAGCAGGGGAUCUUCGGACCUUGUGCUAUUAGAUGAGCCUGCGUGAGAUUAGCUAGUUGGUGAGGUAAAGGCUCACCAAGGCAACGAUCUCUAGCUGGUCUGAGAGGAUGAUCAGCCACACAGGGACUGAGACACGGCCCAGACUCCUACGGGAGGCAGCAGUGGGGAAUAUUGGACAAUGGGCGCAAGCCUGAUCCAGCCAUGCCGCGUGUGUGAAGAAGGCCUUCGGGUUGUAAAGCACUUUCAGAAGGGAGGAAAGGUUGUGUGUUAAUAGCGCAUAGCUGUGACGUUACCUUCAGAAGAAGCACCGGCUAACUCCGUGCCAGCAGCCGCGGUAAUA